AAUCCCAAACAGUUGUACUAGCUCAUAACUAAUAAGGUCAUAACAGUCAAAUGUCGUUAUGCAGUUGACCAAACUAUAAAGUGUUGAGCUCUGUUGAGAUUUAUGCCACUUUAGUUGAAUAGGGCUCAAUAUUUUAUAGCCAAUUUCUGUGAAACGCUCAAAAAGUUUAAGAACCAUACAGUAGUGUCAUGACGUUAUCGACGUCAUGACGUUCUGGUGGGUGGGACUUAUCUCUCCCUCAGGAAUGUGGAGUCAGCCAUCUUGAAAUUUACCUGAUGCGGGAAGUUUUGGCCAGCACGUGUGGAUAUGGUACACAGUAAAAAAACAUUUUAUUUGUUUGGAAUGCGCAUUUUUAUCCCCCGCUUCAAACCACAACCUCCUCAGUUAUUUUCAUAAGUCUUAUUGCCCUCGUCUUCUCAAGCGCCGUCUUAUCAUCAGCCCAGAUUUGGUAUAAGUGUGUGUCUUUGAGAUCAUCUCGAAAACAUUUUAACAGUUCAGAUAUCUGAGUACAAAGAGUGCUACAGAGAGUCAGCGUUUCACCAUCAGACCAAUAGGAACAAAGUGAUGAAAAUGAGACGAGCCCUUGUCCUUUGUGCACGACCUGUGUACCUGCGUGAAGAUGUCUUCAAGUUCUUCAGGAACUGCAAUUCACCAGAUGGUCCAGACCUCACUGACACUCCGGUGGCUCUCUUGAACAGUCUUCAUGUAUGACCCUACUGAUGGUGCCCUCUUCAGCCCUGAGAGGAUCAGUAUUGUCGUGGAGGAUGAAAUACUUGUGAGUGGUCCCAUAAAUCUGGUUGACUCAUUUCUCCUGCUAUUUGGGUACAUCUAUGCAAUAGACUUUCAGUACCCAAAGAAUCACAAGCUUACAUUGACAUUUAUCCCAAAAGUUGCCAUGCGUCUUGAGGACAACAAACUACUGAAAGGGCGUCUAUUGAUGCUGAAGAAUGAUUUGUUAAAUGAGUGGAGAAUGGAUUAUUUGUUUAGAUUUUUAGGAUAUUUAGGUAUUUAGUGUUUUUUCCCCUCUCUUUAUAAAUGUAACCCUUUGCCUCUUUUACCUCAGAUUUAAGACGUGACACUAUUUGCCUGUUCUACCUCAGAUUUAAUACAUUUUUAAAUAUGAUUGUUAAAUAUGAAAAACAUUGACAUUCAAUUCAUGCACUAUACAUGUUUAAUGUUUUGUUGCCUUAUGCCUACCUUGAUGUUGCCAGUUGAAGUAUGGCACAGUAGAAACCAGCACUUUAUUCAAAUGAUUAAUUAAAAAAAAAAGUGAUUUGCAGCCUUUAAGGUACAGUAGUGGCAAAAUGUUUUUAAAUCGUGUUAAAUGACUCCACAUUCUAAUAGUUGUCAUUGCUGUUGAGGAUAGAUUAUACUAAGAAUCUUGUUAAAUUAUAUAUCAAAUCCUUUGUGAGUUUUAAUCCUAAUUUUUACUGAAUAAUAUGAAAUAUUAUUAGACCCAAAAUACUGAAUCUACCCUCUGAAGCAAUGGCCACUAUCAGAAUAUGGAAAUAAUAACACAGUGUACUUUAUAAAAACAAAGUAUGUUUUAGAGACGUUUUCUUUUGUUUUAGUUUAUCACAAGCACUUUGUUUUGACAGAUCUGUAUUAAUUUGUGCCUUUUAAAAGCACAUUGUGUUUAAUAAAAAAGUUGUUAAAUUGUCACUGUGGUGUCACUUUUGUGUUUUCUAACAUUACUAGCUGAUAUAACUGAAUAUUUAUUCAUAAAUAUUAAUUAAGAAUAUAAAAAAAUUGGGUGUAUUUCCCACAUUAUAUGAGUUGAGGAAUAUUAAAAAUUUUGAGUGUAUUUCCCACAUUAUAUGAGUUGAGGAAUAUUUAACAU